AAAUAGUCAAAAUAAUGUUUUCAAUAAACAAAUUUAAAGUAACCUGAUUACUACUGCUGGAAAAAUUGCAACUUAGAUACAGACACAUAGUUUGAAAAUGAAAGUAAAUGUUUGUCUGCUACUGACUAUUGUUUUCGCCUAUUGUUUAAUUGAUUGGUGCGAAGGAACUAGGUGGGGGCCUUGGCGGCCACCCGUAAGAGGAUACCCACCGAUCAGAAGAUGGCCACCGAUUAGAAGAUGGCAUCCACGUCCUACAAUUUAUAGAGGACGAAAAAGCGUCACAUUUAUCGACGAAAAUCAAGAUGACGACAUAAAGAACGUGGACCUAGAAGACCGACAUUUAAACGAACGAUAUGUCGAUAUGAAUGAUGAUAAUGAGGUUAUGGAUGAUAUCCAUGAGCGUUACGUGGAUGAUCCACAGGAAGAUGACUGAUUUAGACACUGUUUUCUACAUACGCGUCAAAAUGCAGAUUAAAUGAUUGUAGCAACA